rnacentral:rRNA from 1 species
UACGUAGGGGGCUAGCGUUGUCCGGAUUUAUUGGGCGUAAAGAGCGUGUAGGCGGCCAGGUAGGUCUGGUGUGAAAACUCGAGGCUUAACCUCGAGAUGUCAUCGGAAACCAUCUGGCUAGAGUCGGAAGAGGAGAGUGGAAUUCCUGGUGUAGCGGUGAAAUGCGCAGAUAUCAGGAAGAACACCAAUGGCGAAAGCAGCUCUCUGGGACGGUACUGACGCUGAGACGCGAAAGCGUGGGGAGCGAACAGG